GACAGAGGUGCCGAGCGUUAGGCGGAAUCACUGGGCUUAAAGCGUGUGUAGGCGGGCCGUUAAGUGUCUUGUGAAAUCCCCCGGCUACAACCGGGGAAUUGCUGGGGCAUACUGGCGGUCUGAGCAAUCUAGGGGCAGAUGGAACAAGUGGUGGAGCGGUGAAAUGCGUAGAUAUCGUUUGGAACGCCAAUGGUGAAAACAACUUGCUGGGGGUGUGCUGACGCUGAGACACGAAAGCCAGGGGAGGCAAACGGGG
rnacentral:rRNA from 1 species